rnacentral:rRNA from 1 species
AUUGAACGCUGGCGGUAUGCCUAACACAUGCAAGUCGAACGGCAGCACAGUAAUAGCUUGCUCUUACGGGUGGCGAGUGGCGGACGGGUGAGGAAUACAUCGGAAUCUACUUUUUCGUGGGGGAUAACGUAGGGAAACUUACGCUAAUACCGCAUACGACCUACGGGUGAAAGCAGGGGAUCUUCGGACCUUGCGCGAUUGAAUGAGCCGAUGUCGGAUUAGCUAGUUGGCGGGGUAAAGGCCCACCAAGGCGACGAUCCGUAGCUGGUCUGAGAGGAUGAUCAGCCACACUGGAACUGAGACACGGUCCAGACUCCUACGGGAGGCAGCAGUGGGGAAUAUUGGACAAUGGGCGCAAGCCUGAUCCAGCCAUACCGCGUGGGUGAAGAAGGCCUUCGGGUUGUAAAGCCCUUUUGUUGGGAAAGAAAAGCAGCAGGUUAAUACCCCGCUGUUCUGACGGUACCCAAAGAAUAAGCACCGGCUAACUUCGUG